GCUGCUCAUCUCUUGAACCACUGUCCUCCCAGCAUCUAGGGUACUUCUACUGUUAUGAUUCUGAGCGUGGGUGAUGGCUCAUCUGGGCACCUACUCUCUGCAAGGCUGUGAACCUGAUCCUCUGAGUAAUCUUCAUGACAGUCCUGAGGGGGUGAAGUUGUCCCCACUUGGGGACAGUGAAUGAUGGAAUGAUCUGAUCCCACAUCUUCUGCCAAAGCACACACCAUAGAAACAAGUACGAAGUGCAUUCUUAAUUCUUCAUGACAGGUGCUGCUUAUUCUAUUUUUAAGGUGGGAAAUUGCAGGUUAUAGAGAAUAAGGUUUUGCAUGAUUGUAGAGCUAGUAAAUGGUGGGUGGGUGGUAACUAUCUCUUCAGGCUGCUGCUUAGAACCUGUAUGCUCCCCAUUCUCAUCCCCUUGCAUCUAAGGUUCCUGUUCCCCAAUGGAAAACCCCUUUGGGAAGCUGAUUCCCCUGCAGCUGUAGAGGGGAGUUUGAGGUUCCCUUGACUCUUCUGUUGAAUGACUGCUGAAUGAAGGUGUCUCCCCUAAAGAGAGCAUUCCUGACACUGUCAUCAUCCCUCCAGUUCUCCCAGAAGCAGACCUUGAGACAAGGAGUUGUGUGCCAGGGAAUUAUCAAUGGAUUGUCUCCAGGAGGAACUGGGAAGGGAGAGGGGAAGCAGGAUAGGAAAGGGUAGAAUUCCAGCAAGGGUAUGAUUUCAGGCAAAUCCCAGCCUGAGCCUGAUCCUGCAGGGUGCUGUGGGGCACAGUGUAGCCUCUUAAUAGGUCUUGAUUCCCAGCAAGGGACCUGAGCUUCUAUUGUCCCCACCAGUCAGUCACUGCAUGGGGGGCUGCCCUAGAACAUAAAGUCCCAGACACUUCUGUCUCUGUGGGUGAGGCCAAAGCAACUCCAAUGCCCCCUGGGAAGUUUCAUUGCUUUCAUCUCUUGUGACCAUCAAUCUAUUGCAACGUGUGCUGUAGCCUACCCCACCCCCAGACGGCUGUCCCUCUGGUCAUUAUUGUCCUAGUCCCAGGACCAGGUGGAGGUCUCCUUAUAAAUCCUAUCUCCCUUUUGUGAAAUGAAGUGGUCGUUUGCAGUGUUUUAAAGGGAGAAUGAAAUAUUCCAGUCAGAAGGACUUUCUUCUGACAGCACGUUACAUGAAAACUGCCAACUCUUUAUACUUAAGACUUCUGUCUACUCAAUUCAUUGAUCCUCCCUCCUCCCCCUCCCACAACACUUAAGCUAUGUAGAAGUGAGUUUCUCAAAGAACUAUCAGGAAGUGUGAGUUGCUCAUUCUUUUGGAAAGCAAUCUAGUGAACUCUAAAAUUCCAAAAUUGCAUGGCCUUUGACCCAGCAGAACUCUAGCCUAGCAAUAGUAAGUACAAUAGUAAGUACUCGACAGGCACACAGUGGUGUUGACUGUAGCCCAUCUUAUAACAUCCAAAGAACUGGGCAUGACCUGCACGUCCAUCCGUAAGGAAGAGGCUGGGGGUGGUGAUCCGUCUGGACUGUGGAACAAGCUUGUCCAACCUGUGGCCUGCAAGCACCCCAGGAUGGCUUUUGUGGCCCAACACAAAUUUGUAAACUUUCUUAAAAUAUAUUUUCACAAUGAUUUUUUUUUAGCUCAUCAGCUAUCGAUAGCGUAUUUUAUUUUAUGUGUGGCCCAAGACCAUUCUUCCAAUAUGGCCAAGGGAAGCCAAAAGAUUGGACACCCUUGGUGUGGAAUACCAUGCGACUGUUAAAAAGAGACCCAUGAAUUCUAUGUUGAAAAUGUGUCCGGGAUGUAUUAGCAAAAAACACACACUGCAGAAUAACAAUACAGUGCAAAUUCCCCCCUCUUUUUUUUGAGACAGGGUUUCUCUCACCCAGGCUGUAGUGCAGUGGUGUGAUCAUAGCUCACUGCAGCCUCAACCUCCCGGGCUCAAGUGAUCCACCUCAGCCUCCCAAAUUGCUGAGAUUAUAGAUGUGAGCCACCGUGACUGGCCGGCAAUCUCACUUUUGCCAAAGUGGGUAAAUCCUACAUGUAUGCAUGUUUACAUAAGAAUGGAGAAAAGUGGGGGAAGUAAUACAUCAAAAGAUGAUGACUGGUUAGUCCUGAGUGAUUGGACAGUAUAGCUCUCUGCAUUACUUUUCCUUAAAGAUACAGCUUUGUAAUAUUGAAUAAGUUACAAAGGUAAACUUUAAAACUGAAAUGUUGGGAGCUGCUGGUUGAAGCAGGAAGGUGGAGCAAGCCUCAUUCCUAGCCUCCAGCUUCCCUCUUCCCUCCUGUUCUCCUGGGCAGGCAUGUGGAUUGCAGGGCCUCACCUCCUUGGUCCUCCUGGGACAUCUCACAUUGACACAGCCCACGCUGCUCAGCCCACCAGCUCUCAGCAGGCCUGCUGCCCCUGCCCUGACCCCGGUUCUCUGAGAGGUUGAAAGGCCAUGGUGAGAUAACCCAGCUCCGUGCCCCCACCUGGCAGAAGAUCAGUUAAAAGGCAUCCAAGCGGAGGACCCCCGUGGCUGCCUAUUUAGAGUUCCUUCAGAGCCUCCCAUGAUAACAGCCACCAUGGCUGAGCGCUUACAUAGCAGAGCUUACAGCUAAGAGCAUGGACUCUGAAAUAAGUCACCUGUCAUCUCCAGGCCUUAGUUUGCUCUUCUGUGAAAUGGGCAUAACGGUACCUCUCAGAGUGGUUAUAACUAAAAGAUCAUAUGCAUGAAAAGACAUACUGCAUGUUGCAUGUUGUCAUGUGGGAACUAAAAGUUGAUCUUGUAGAGUAGAAUAGUGGUUACUGGAGGAUGGGAAGGGUCAGGGGUGCAGGUGGAGAUAGCCCAAGGUAGGUGAAUGGAUACGAAGUUACAGCUAGCUAGGAGGAAUGAGCUCCAGUGUUUUAUAGCAUUGUAGGUGACUGUGAUAGUAAUUUGUUGUAUAUUUUCAAAUAGCCAGAAGGGCAGAUUUUGAAUGUUCCCAACACAAAGAAAUGAUCAAUGUUUAAGGUGAUUUUUAUGUCAAUUACCCUGAUUUGAUCAUUAUACAUUGCAUAACUAUUGUAAUAUCACUGUACCCUAUAAAUAUGUGCAGUUAUGUCAAAUAAAAGCAAAAAUGCUAAAAAAGAU
rnacentral:lncRNA from 10 species